rnacentral:rRNA from 1 species
GUCUACGGCCACACCACCCUGAAUGUGCCCAAUCUCGUCUAAUCUCAGAAGCUAACCAGGGUUGGGCCUGGUUAGUACUUGGACAGGAGACAUGUAUAAGAGCUAAAUGGGAUGUGGGAC